rnacentral:lncRNA from 1 species
UUUUGUUUCUGUUUCUGUUUUUGAGUUUUGUGGACAUUACUACCUCUGUAAUAAUUGUGUUUUCUUGUUUUAAUUAGUUUUCGAGCCAAGUAAGACCUUUGGGAUGGUCUAUGGUGAUUGCAAGUUGAUUUUGCUGUAAAACAUUCUUUUGAUAUGAAGUUUUUACACAAGAUUGGCUUACAAAUUUCCAAGCUUGUUCUAAUAUUUCAGAAUGUUUGGAGUUACAGAAGUAUUCAAAGUAAACAGAUUGCUACAAGACUGUUCGGUUUUUGACAGAUUCUGUCAUCUUUGUGUUGUUUGCUUAUUCUGAUGAAUCUAUGGGUUGUAUCAGGGGGUAUGAACCAUGGAGAAGUUGUAAUACAG